rnacentral:rRNA from 1 species
AACGCGAAGAACCUUACCUGGGCUCGAAAUGUACAGGAAUCCGGUGGAAACAUCGGCGCCCAGCAAUGGGCCUGUAUAUAGGUGCUGCAUGGCUGUCGUCAGCUCGUGUCGUGAGAUGUUGGGUUAAGUCCCGCAACGAGCGCAACCCUUACCUCCAGUUGCCAUACCGAAAGGUGGAACUCGCAGGAGACCGCCAGGGAUAACCUGGAGGAAGGUGGGGAUGACGUCAAGUCCUCAUGGCCUUUAUGUCCAGGGCUACACACGUGCUACAAUGGACGGUACAAAGGGUCGCCAACCCGCGAGGGGGAGCCAAUCCCAAAAAACCGUUCUCAGUUCGGAUUGCAGGCUGCAACUCGCCUGCAUGAAGCUGGAAUCGCUAGUAAUGGCGGAUCAGAACGCCGCCGUGAAUACGUUCCCGGGCCUUGUACACACCGCAUAC